AAUACUUGGGAAUAUUUUAUCAUAUCUCUAUCUCAAUAAUUUAUACCUGGGAAUAUUUCAUUAAUAUCUACAGGCCUUUCCAGUUGACCUACUAAUCUAAGAAUGAGUGAAGUCCUUAUUAUAUGUUCCUACUGAGAAUACAAAUAGUAUUUAAAAUCUUAUUUUUCUAUAAGGCCAACACAACUGCCUACUGGUAAGAUAUGGGCAGCAUUUUCCCACAA